CGGUCCAGACUCCUACGGGAGGCAGCAGUAGGGAAUCUUCCGCAAUGGACGAAAGUCUAUACGGUAGCAACCGCCCGCCGUGGAAGUGAAUGAAAGUUUUCCGGAUCCGUAAAACUUCUGUUAUUAGGGAAAGGAACAAAUCGUGUAAAGUAAACUGUGCACAUCUUGACGGUACCUAAUCAGAAAGCCACGGCUAACUACGUGCCAGCAGCCGCGGUAA
rnacentral:rRNA from 1 species